GACGAACGCUGGCGGCGUGCUUAACACAUGCAAGUCGAACGGAAAGGCCCCUUUGGGGGUACUCGAGUGGCGAACGGGGGUGUAACACGUGAGUAACCUUCCCUUGACUUCGGGAUAACUUCAGGAAACUGGGGCUAAUACCGGAGAGGAAUCCUUGCUGCAUGGUGGGGGUUGGAAAGCUUCGGCGGCUUUGGAUGGACUCUCUGCUUAUUAGCUUGUUGGUGGGGUAGUGGCCUACCAAGGCUUUGACGGGUAGCCGGCCUGAGAGGGGGACCGGCCACAUUGGGGCGGAGGAGCGGCCCAGACUCCUACGGGGGGCAGCAGUGGGGAAGAAUACACGAUGGGCGGGAGCCCGAUGCAGCAACGCCGCGGGCGGGAUGACGGACUUCGGGUUGUAAUACGGUUUCAGCAGGGGCGAAGCUUGUGGUGACGGUACCUGCAGAAGAAGCACCGGCUAACUACGUG
rnacentral:rRNA from 1 species